UAUAAAAUUAUAAACUUUUUAAGACUAGUCUGAACAGUUUAUGCAACUGGCCCCUGGAUUUUUUUGGUGCUAAAGUCUUAACAAACCCAGAAUUUUGUCACUUAUAACAUGUUAUGUGCAACAUUGUUAAUUUUCUACUGUGCAAUAUUCAAUAUUGAGAUAAUUUAUUUUACUUUUACCUGAUGGCAGAGUGACAUUGCAGUAAAUUAACAAUGUUUGCUAAACUGUUUAUUGUCAAAAAUGGAAUUUUACAAAAUCAUUUUUUAGUCUGGUUUUUAAAACUGUAAACUGUAUUGCGAUUUCAAUCAGUAUGGACUGUGUAAAACCACUAAUGAUAUUAGUGAUUUUAAUAUUCCAAAUGUUCUAUUCAGAAUGGUCAUACUUGCAUCUGUAAUAGGUGUUUUUUUAAUGUAAUAA